CCUACGGGAGGCAGCAGUGGGGAAUAUUGGGCAAUGGGCGCAAGCCUGACCCAGCAACGCCGCGUGAAGGAAGAAGGCUUUCGGGUUGUAAACUUCUUUUGUCAGGGAAGAGUAGAAGACGGUACCUGACGAAUAAGACACGGCUAACUACGUGCCAGCAGCCGCGGUAAUACGUAGGUGGCAAGCGUUGUCCGGAUUUACUGGGUGUAAAGGGCGUGUAGCUGGGUUGUCAAGUCAGAUGUGAAAUCCUGCGGCUUAACCGUAGAACUGCAUUUGAAACUGUCGAUCUUGAGUACUGGAGAGGCAGACGGAAUUCGUAGUGUAGCGGUGAAAUGCGUAGAUAUUAGGAGGAACACCAGUGGCGAAGGCGGUCUGCUGGACAGCAACUGACGGUGAGGCGCGAAAGCGUGGGGAGCAAACAGGAUUAGAUACCCCAGUAGUC
rnacentral:rRNA from 1 species